rnacentral:rRNA from 1 species
AUGCGUCGAACACACACUAGAGCAAAUCAAAACAACGGAAGGAAUAUGUGGCAUCAUCAAGGAAUCCAAAUACCUGAGCAAGCAGCCUCUAAACUAGCAACACUCGAAUCUAAUGAUAGUCAAUCAGACAUCAUUAGAGCAGCAGCAAAGGAAGCUAGGCGGAAAAGGAAAGAGAUCCUCCAGCUGAAAAAGGCAAGCAAACGACUAAGGACAGAAAAGGGCAAUGACUGUGAAGUAUCUAAUGUAGCGAAGGAUGUCACUCAAGUUUCAUAUCUGGGAAAACCAAAUUGUGUUUGUGAAUUUUGCAAUGCCAUUAUGUGGCAUGGAGAGAGAAGCACAAGCACAGGUAACAUCACAGUUCCAAAAUUUGGUCUCUGCUGCAAGGAAGGGAAAGUUAAAUUGCCACCACUGAAGCAAGCUCCGCUGUAUCUCCGACAGCUACUACGUUACAAUGAAAGAAGAGAAUCAUCAAAUUUCCGCCAGAACAUCAGGUUGUACAACUCGAUGUUCGCAUUCACUUCAAUGGGAGGAAAGGUUGACUAUGAAAUUAAUAAGCAGGCAUCUGGACCGUAUGUUUUCCGUUUGAAUGGCCAGAAUUACCAUCAGAUUGGCACUUUACUUCCUAAGGAUGGCGUGACGAAACCAAAAUUUGCCCAAUUGUACAUACAUGACACAUAA